UGUAUCUGUGGGUAGCAGUGUAGGCACAACCUACUAUUAGUUUAUCUGGUUUUGUGAUGGGCUCCUCCUUAUCUCUGAAGCAAUGACUGGGAAAAUCAGCUGCUCUCAUCUGAUCCAGGGCUUCUUACCAUUUCUCUAAAUGGCUGAGUCUUUCCCAAGACACCUGGUACUUUCACAACUGUGACUUGGUACUAAAAUCUAGAGGACAUCUGAAAGAUCUAUGCAAUCGAGGAAUGAAGCUGAAAGACUUCGCCAUCCUUUGGUGAAUAAAUUGGUUUGUGGAAAGCAG
rnacentral:lncRNA from 1 species